rnacentral:rRNA from 1 species
CGCCGCGUGAGCGAAGAAGGCCUUCGGGUCGUAAAGCUCUGUUGUUAGGGAAGAACAAGUAACGCAGUAACUGGCGUUACCGUGACGGUACCUAACGAGAAAGCCACGGCUAACUACGUGCCAGCAGCCGCGGUAAUACGUAGGUGGCAAGCGUUGUCCGGAAUUAUUGGGCGUAAAGCGCGCGCAGGCGGUUCCUUAAGUCUGAUGUGAAAGCCCACGGCUCAACCGUGGAGGGUCAUUGGAAACUGGGGGACUUGAGUGCAGAAGAGGAGAGCGGAAUUCCACGUGUAGCGGUGAAAUGCGUAGAGAUGUGGAGGAACACCAGUGGCGAAGGCGGNUCUCUGGUCUGUAACUGACGCUGAGGCGCGAAAGCGUGGGGAGCAAACAGGAUUAGAUACCCUGGUAGUCCACGCCGUAAACGAUGAGUGCUAAGUGUUAGAGGGUAUCCACCCUUUAGUGCUGUAGCUAACGCAUUA